rnacentral:rRNA from 1 species
AUUGAACGCUGGCGGCGUGCCUAACACAUGCAAGUCGAGCGGUAACAGGUGUAGCAAUACAUGCUGACGAGCGGCGGACGGGUGAGUAACGCCUGGGAAUCUGCCUAUUAGUGGGGGACAACCCGGGGAAACUCGGGCUAAUACCGCAUACGCUCUACGGAGGAAAGCCGGGGACCGCAAGGCCUGGCGUUAAUAGAUGAGCCCAAGUCGGAUUAGCUAGUUGGUAGGGUAAUGGCCACCAAGGCGACGAUCCGUAACUGGUCUGAGAGGACGACCAGUCACACCGGAACUGAGACACGGUCCGGACUCCUACGGGAGGCAGCAGUGGGAAUCUUGCGCAAUGGGCGAAAGCCUGACGCAGCGACGCCGCGUGAGGGAUGACGGCCU